rnacentral:rRNA from 1 species
UACGGGGGGGGCAAGUGUUGUUCGGAAUUACUGGGCGUAAAGGGCUCGUAGGCGGCCAACUAAGUCAGACGUGAAAUCCCUCGGCUUAACCGGGGAACUGCAUCUGAUACUGGAUGGCUUGAGUUUGGGAGAGGGAUGCGGAAUUCCAGGUGUAGCGGUGAAAUGCGUAGAUAUCUGGAGGAACACCGGUGGCGAAGGCGGCAUCCUGGACCAACACUGACGCUGAGGAGCGAAAGCCAGGGGAGCAAACGGG